UACAGAGGGUGCGAGCGUUGUUCGGAAUUAUUGGGCGUAAAGGGCGCGUAGGCGGUGCGGUAAGUCACUUGUGAAAUCUCCUGGCUCAACUGGGAGCUUGCAGGCGAAACUGCCGUGCUGGAGUGUGGGAGAGGUGCGUGGAAUUCCCGGUGUAGCGGUGAAAUGCGUAGAGAUCGGAAAGAACACCAACGGCGAAAGCACUCUGCUGGGCCGACACUGACACUGAGAGACGAAAGCUAGGGGAGCGAAUGGG
rnacentral:rRNA from 1 species